GCCAACUUCCUUAACAAACUUUCCAACGAAAAUGACAGCCAAUUAUGACGUGGGCAGAUACCGUAUAUAAAAUUAAUGAAAUUCAUUUCCAAUUCUCACUUCCAGUGGUCUAUAAUUAGUUUUUAAGUCAGUAUAGUUUUUAAAUUCGUAAAUUUUUUAUUCAUGCAUUAAAUAAUGCAAGCAAUGACAUAUUCCACUUUUACAGUACUUCUGACUAUUAAAGCUGUUAGUUUUGUAGUUUUGAAUUUACAUGUAUGCUAUUUUUAUGAUAUUUAGAAUGUCACGAAAAGCUAUCAGUAUUGUUCAUGGUGGUAAACGAAACUCUGGAUGCUAUAUUUGGAGAUGUUGAUAACAUUUCCCCAAGACUAGAUAUAUUAUCAACUCUUUAUUUCCCUUGGCACUACUUAAUGUGACACCAGUAUAUUUCCAGAAUGACAUUCCUGUCAAAUUAUUUUUAGAGAUGAAAAUAGGCUACAAAGUUCUUUGUAAACAUUAAUGCAAAACUCAACAGAGUAACCUGAAAUCAAAUGUGUGGCUAAACAAGCAUUUAUUCAUGUUUGAACUGUUUUUUUACAUUUUUGUUUGAGUUAUGAACAUUAUAAAUUGAAGUACAAUU
rnacentral:lncRNA from 1 species